rnacentral:pre_miRNA from 2 species
UCUUAUGAAUGAACAAAGAAAAUGGUUUCUUGAAAUGGAAUCUUCCUGGUGAUGAUCCUGUGAA